UAGGUGUUUUUUAAAAACUUUAUGAUGUACCAGGCAUUCAGUGGUCACUUGGGCCACCUGGAGGAGAAAUGAAUCAUUGGGUGAACAAACAAAGUUUAACUACAGGUUCAAGUGCCCUGUGAGAUUAAAAAACGCC